rfam:Methylobacterium sp. Leaf99 contig_4, whole genome shotgun sequence.
GCCGCCGUAGCUCAGUUGGUUAGAGCACCAGAUUGUGGAUCUGGGGGUCCCCCGUUCGAGCCGGGGCGGUGGUA